rnacentral:rRNA from 1 species
AUUGAACGCUGGCGGCAUGCUUUACACAUGCAAGUCGAACGGUAACAGGUUAAGCUGACGAGUGGCGAACGGGUGAGUAAUGCAUCGGAACGUGCCCGAUCGUGGGGGAUAACGCAGCGAAAGCUGCGCUAAUACCGCAUACGAUCUGAGGAUGAAAGCGGGGGACCGUAAGGCCUCGCGCGACCGGAGCGGCCGAUGUCAGAUUAGGUAGUUGGUGGGGGAAAGGCCCACCAAGCCUACGAUCUGUAGCUGGUCUGAGAGGACGACCAGCCAGACUGGGAUUGAGACACAGCCCGGACUCCUACGGGAGGCAGCAGUGGGGAAUUUUGGAUAAUGGGCGUAAGCCUGAUCAAGCAAUGCCGCGUGCAGGAAGAAGGCCUUCGAGUUGUAAACUGCUUUUGUACGGAGCGAAAAGGUCCUUUCUAAUACAAGGGGCUCAUGACGGUACCGUAAGAAUAAGCACCGGCUAACUACGUGCCAGCCGCCGCAGUAA